ensembl:lncRNA
CCUCUGGACUGGAAGAAGAGGGUAGAGAAGAAUCAGAAGCAGGGAAAUGCUGGAGCUCUUGGAACCAACCCAACAGACAUUCAGUGGAAUGUACAGGAGGAAGAACAUACACAUCUGCUCACCGUGGGAAAGAUAGCUUUCAUUCUACAACUGUAUUUUGAACAUGGUGAUAAUGGUUGGAGAGAAAGUCCUGAAAACACUCCCUUUGAUCUUGAAGACCUGUGAGAAUGUUAGAGGUCAACGAAUGAGGAGCAAGGGGGAGAGAAUGGAAGAGACGGCAAUCUUUUAUCAGCACCAUGGACAGCAGCCAAGCAGUCAUGAUGAAUCAAUUGUAAGUCCCCAAAGGUGUGAUUUUCUCUCACUUCUGGGACAUUGCCAACACCGCCCUCUGGCUGAAGCUCUCCUCCACUCUGAUUCACCAGCUAGUUCCUGCUACACCUUCAGGCUCCUGACUGAGACAGCAGGUGCAGACGUUGAGUGAGUGACCACGUGUGGAUAGUACCUCUCUUGGCAGGGCUGUGCCUGGAGAGACCUGCAUGCACAUCAGUGUAUAUUGUUG